AACGCACAUUGCGCCCUUUGGUAUUCCGAAGGGCAUGCCUGUUCGAGCGUCAUUAUCACCCCUCAAGCCCCCGGCUUGGUGUUGGACGGUCGGUGAAACUCCCUCGCGGGUGUCUCACCCCUCCCAAAGACAAUGACGGCGGCCUCGUUGGACCCCCGGUACACUGAGUUCUUAACCGAGCACGUACCGGACAAGGGUUCACGGGACACGGUCUGCCUCCCCUCAGGGAGAACUUUUACAAGGUUGACCUCGGAUCAGGUAGGGAUACCCGCUGAACUUAA
rnacentral:misc_RNA from 1 species